UACGUAGGGGGCAAGCGUUGUCCGGAUUUACUGGGCGUAAAGGGCGCGUAGGCGGCCACCGCAAGUCAGUUGUGAAAUCUCUGGGCUUAACCCAGAAAGGUCAACUGAUACUGCGGGGCUAGAGUGCAGAAGGGGCAACUGGAAUUCUCGGUGUAGCGGUGAAAUGCGUAGAUAUCGAGAGGAACACCUGCGGCGAAGGCGGGUUGCUGGGCCGACACUGACGCUGAGUGCGCGAAAGCCAGGGGAGCAAACGGG
rnacentral:rRNA from 1 species